AGUUUCUUCUCAGACUUUACAACCGGAAGCCAUGAGGGAUUAUUCAAAGACUUUUUUGAAGAUCGAGAGGAGUGGAGGAGAAGAGUUCCAAAUCUAUUUCAAGGUGAAACAAUGUUCGGUAAUAUCAUAAAAGAUAUGGAUGAAUUAAUGAAGAAUGCUUUUGGAAUGACAAGAAACAUGCAUGAAGGGCCAGAUUACAAAAAAUCAGAACAAUGGAAAAACUAUGGCCAACAACGAUAUCAACAACACUAUGAAACACAGAGAAGCGUAAAUGAUAUUUUUGAUGCAUUUUUCUCAAAGAAACCCAGUGAUGUUUAUGG